rnacentral:rRNA from 2 species
UGAGGAAUAUUGGGCAAUGGAGGAAACUCUGACCCAGCAACGCCGCGUGAAUGAUGAAGGUCUUCGGAUUGUAAAGUUCUGUGAUGGGGGACGAAGAAAGUGACGGUACCCCAAUAGCAAGCCACGGCUAACUACGUGCCAGCAGCCGCGGUAAUACGUAGGUGGCAAGCGUUAUCCGGAAUGACUGGGCGUAAAGGGUGCGUAGGUGGCGAUACAAGUUAGUAGUGAAAUUCCGGGGCUCAACCUCGGCGCUACUACUAAGACUGUAUUGCUUGAGUGCAGGAGAGGUAAGCGGAAUUCCUAGUGUAGCGGUGGAAUGCGUAGAUAUUAGGAAGAACACCAGUGGCGAAGGCGGCUUACUGGCCUGUAACUGACACUGAGGCACGAAAGCGUGGGGAGCAAACAGG